AUGAACGCUGGCGGCGUGCCUAAUACAUGCAAGUCGAGCGAACAGACGAGGAGCUUGCUCCUCUGACGUUAGCGGCGGACGGGUGAGUAACACGUGGAUAACCUACCUAUAAGACUGGGAUAACUUCGGGAAACCGGAGCUAAUACCGGAUAAUAUAUUGAACCGCAUGGUUCAAUAGUGAAAGACGGUUUUGCUGUCACUUAUAGAUGGAUCCGCGCCGCAUUAGCUAGUUGGUAAGGUAACGGCUUACCAAGGCAACGAUGCGUAGCCGACCUGAGAGGGUGAUCGGCCACACUGGAACUGAGACACGGUCCAGACUCCUACGGGAGGCAGCAGUAGGGAAUCUUCCGCAAUGGGCGAAAGCCUGACGGAGCAACGCCGCGUGAGUGAUGAAGGUCUUCGGUUCGUAAAACUCUGUUAUUAGGGAAGAACAAAUGUGUAAGUAACUAUGCACGUCUUGACGGUACCUAAUCAGAAAGCCACGGCUAACUACGUG
rnacentral:rRNA from 1 species